GGAGGGUGCAAGCGUUGUUCGGAAUUAUUGGGCGUAAAGAGCGUGUAGGCGGUCCGGUAAGUCAGAUGUGAAAGCCCUGGGCUCAACCCAGGAAGUGCAUUUGAAACUACCAGACUUGAGUACGGGAGAGGAGGGGGGAAUUCCCGGUGUAGAGGCGAAAUUCGUAGAUAUCGGGAGGAAUACCAGUGGCGAAGGCGCCCCUCUGGACCGAUACUGACGCUGAGACGCGAAAGCGUGGGGAGCAAACAGGAUUAGAUACCCUGGGUAGUCCACGCCGUAAACGAUGAGCACUAGGUGUAGCGGGUAUUGACCCCCCUGCUGUGCCGUAGCUAACGCAUUAAGUGCUCCGCCUGGGGGACUACGGUCGCAAGACUA
rnacentral:rRNA from 1 species